rnacentral:misc_RNA from 1 species
UGCUAGUACAACAUCGAUGGAUAGGUCACAUGACAUCUGUCAUCAACUAUUUUGUCAGGCGCUGAGGUUUAUCGGUUUACAGUAACAGUAUGUCAGUGUACUCUUGUGGCUGCUUGAAUGUUAAGAUCCAUACAAGGGACAUCCACCCACUUGACAAUAUUGGUGAUGAUGGUUCACAACCAUUCCUUGGUCGGAGAGUUGCAGAGGCAAUGCUGGAUGACAAAGGCAUUGUCAUAGAGCAGUCCUACCUGCUGCACCGACAGAGCACCAGCUCAGGAUGGGUGCAGUAUCAGUGCGUCAACUGCAACUGGCGCACCCAUGCAGUUCGUACGUCGGACACCCGUUCCGUGCUCAUCAACCUCCAGUUGGAGUCAGACCCAUCAGUCCUCCUUCGCCUCACCCGGUCCCCAGACUUCUCCUUCGUCUACCACAUCGUCAUGCAGAAUCACAACUUCCAGGACGUUCCCAUGCCAGAUGGGUCUGUGUACGAGUCUCUGGCAUCAGGGGUCUCAACUGUGGAAGAUCAGGCAGACAAUUUUGUUGAGCAAGAACAGUCUGCCAUGGAGGAACGCAUCAGGAACUUUGAGCAUGAGCAGAGGACGUUGUUUGGGCAGCUCCAGGCGAGGUGCGACAAGGAGAAAGCACAGAUGUUGCGCCUUUUGAUGAAGGCUGUCAACGAUGUGCCGCAGUCAGACAGGGGAGACAACUCUGGAAAGACUUCAGAAACAUCUAGAUCCCCCAGAUCCACAACCAAUCCUGCCAAAUCUUCAGUCGGAGGGCGCAGUAGUGCCAAGACACGAUGUUAUAGCGAAUAUGAUCAGAACCCUGACUCAGAAGCUCUGUUCUACCUGGAUGAGUUGGAGCCGGAGCUCGAGGAGCCUUUCUAUGAGUCAGAUGAUGAUGUGCCUGGAAAACUCUCCGAGAGCAGCUCGUCACACAAUCGGACUCUAUCUGGCAGCGGAAAAACUGAUCUCUACUCCACAUCAGUACCAAUCUCUGUCCCCAUGUGGCGAGGUCGAAGGUCAUCCAGCACGGAGGAGGAGGAGGAGGAAGAGGUGACCCCAGCUGACCCAGACCAGAUGGCAGCAAACAUGCAAGCACUGGCUCAGAGCAUCACCGACACUGGGCGCUACAUCUUUGGUGAACGUCCACGUCCUCGUCUGAACACCGGUGAUGCCAUGACCCGCUACGCUGAGCGACCACGACAGAGGCUCAACACAACUGACUCGGUCUCUCGUAGGAAGUGAAUCUGGAAUGACUGUGCAUUGUUUGCUACUUAAGGAUUGAUGUUGACAAUAACAGUGUUGUGUAAUCGUAAAGGUGUUACACUAACGGGUUGCGUCAGUCUAGGAACAAGUUACAGUAUGCUUCUCUUUCAUAGAUCUCUGAGACUCUUCAAAAACAAGUAGGGAUGCAGUCUCUGUGGACUCAUUCCAUCCGAUCUCUUGGCAUACAGAGAUUGCGUUGUCCUCGCUAGGCUUUCACAAAAUAUAAGACUCAGUAUUUGGUUGUGAGUUAUCUCCCUUUUCAGUGUCAACUAAGUAUAAGAUUAUUUCAUGAACAUAUAUCAUUUAUGACAUUUUUUAAGAUAUUGAUACAAGCCUUUAGGAUGGAUAACAUAAGUUAUCAUUUGAGAGGGUGUCCAAAUAUGAUGGUAGUACAUUUUGUAGGGUUAUGUUUUUGAGUUGACUCAUGGGUCCGUGUCAUCAUUUAUUAUGGGAGUGUGUUUUCUGUAAAGACAAAUCUUGAUCUGUUAGCUUUUGGAAUGCAGAACAUCAUUUGUCAUAGCUUCAGUCAUGAUUUGGUACAUAACUUGGAUAUGGAGAAAAACAGUCACCAUAGAAACGGUGAAUUGGUGAAUACGCCACAGGGAUGAAGAUGAUGGCCACUAGACAGUUCACGUUCAUUAAAUUGGUUCAUAAACUAGGAGCUUCCAUCCAUGAUAUAUGUUACAGGAUAUGAGUGUUCUGUAUAUAUGAAACGGUUGGUGCACACUGGUUGGUUGAAACAGGGCAUGGGAGCUUGUUACCAUAGUUGCUGUUUGUGUAACUGUAUGCCCAAUGAAAGGCCAUGUUGAGGACGAUGCUGGCAGUGAGCAAACCGGUCCUUGGAUUUAGCUCUCAAAUUAUUCCAUCUGAAGAAAAGCCUGAGAUAAGGGAAGAAGACCUUUUGUUUUGUCUUCGUCAAACAUUCAUUUAUAAAAUUUAGUUACAGGUGUCUUGAUAUUUAUAAUGUUUAAAUUGAAUUUGCUAUGGCCGUUUUUACCGACUCCAAGUGUCCGUUUCCACCAAAUGCAAGUGGCUUUUUUCAACUGAAGCUGUUUGGAUACAGAUUUUGGGCUGACACAAAUGUCCAACAACUAAUCAUGAUCACACAUCAAGAUAGAUGAGCAGUGUCUCUAUGAAAAUAGUCACUUCCUGUAUGAUGCAGAUUGCUGUAUAGUAUUGAACCUAGUGAUGUAAUGAAGCAUUAUUGGAGUCAGUGUGAAAUCACUAUUAUCGGUGAUUGUCAUACUGAUUUUAGAACUCAUCAAGUGCCAAUGUUUGAUUGUUCCUGCUGUUUAUAUACUACUCAAAAUUUGCUAAGGAACAAAAGUCAUCUGUAGUCAAAGGUGUGAUCCUUAGCAAAUGUUGAGUAGUAUCCAUGUACAUAGAUGUGAGGAAUGUGCUAUUUGUUAUCACUCUUUUAAUCAUCAGACACCAAUGAGUAUGGGAGUCACCAACACAUUAUGUUUGUAUAUAACUGUUGUGACUUUAUCCAGGGUUUAAAAUGAGGUCCUGUUUUGUCUUAGACCCAUCUGAAAGGGCAAACAAAGUUCUAAAUUGUUUGAUAAUGUGUGAUGUGUCCUGCAUUUAGUCCAUCUUGUCCUGCAGCUAUUUGAGAAUAGUCAUUCCGUGACAAACGUACAUGUCUGCUAGACCAGAGGUAUACAGAAUCCAGUUCCCAUCAGCCAUUUCAGGGACUGUUGAUAGUAAAUAUAUGGGAGCUGCAGUCAUCCUAGCACUACGACUGUCAAAAGUAAUUAUAAUUAAUAUUUGAGAGGGAUACUGGGCUAUUUCAUGCUGUUAUUGAACUACAUCUUAAAUGUCAAAUUUGUAUUUUCCAAGUUUGUGUAACGAUGUGUUCCUGAAGAGAUACGAUGUAAUUUUUUUUCUGCGAAGACAAACACGCUUUUGUUGCAAAUGUAGGGAUGGUGUUUGCAUGGUGCUGAGCUUAUUCUGAUUCACUUUAUAGACGGUGUAUAUAAAUUAGCAUCAAUUUUUUAGGCUUGUACAGGGGGGUCCCUUUAUACAUGGGGUUGCUUUAUCGACAGCGAUAUAUGGUACUUACAUUUAUCAUCGUUAUUGACUUCAAAUAUAGCUGUAUGGCAAUAUAGGAUACUAAUUGUAUGACACCAUCUCCAAGCAGCCAAUCACUCACAUUCAGGUCCCAUGCACAGAAUAUCCCUAUCAAAUGUUUUGUAGUAUAAACAGGAGUUGCAGUCAUCUUAGCGCAGAUUGCUUUUGUGGAAUGGGGCCCAGGAUAAUGAUAAUGGAUAUUUUGACGUGGUGGUUUGACUUGCGCGCACCUAUAAAAUUUCAGUCUAAUUGUUUGCUUGCUUUGUCAAUAUGAAGGUGUGAAUGCUUGUUUAAUACUUAUGCUUUGUAGCUGUCAAGUUUCUAUGGAUCUGUGAUGUUGCUGUGGAGUUUAUCCUAUUUACAGCUUGAAAAGUUUUCUAUUUCUAAAACCGUGAAUAUCAGUGUAUUGCGAAUUUGUAACUUGUGUUUUGUUAAGGUGAUGACAAGUUUUGCCAAAAGGCAAAUAAUACACAAAGACACGCACAAAUGACAAUGACUGUCAAUUGCCUAAAAUUUGUAAUUAAUACCUUAAACAUGCACGAUUUCCAAAUUGCCCUGGAUAAACUUGAAUAAGCCAUGUUGAUAUUUUGUAUUAAUGCUGCAAAACAUGUAUAAUAUCGUAUAAAUACUUGGUUGUUGUUUUACCUUGGUUGCCAGUGAUGCACCAUCAUUUUGAAUGGCUUUUGUCAUUUUGUGUGAAUUUAUAUGGUGACCUUCACAUUGAUUUUAUUACUUAUAAUGAUGUACGGUCCUUAAUGACUUAACUAAAAUUGACUUUUUUGCCUUCAUGUACAGUGCUAUGGCCUAUGGCUGAUAUUUUCACAAAAGUCGCCAAAGGUAUCACAUGUGGACAAUAGUCAUUGCAUCAAUGAUUUGUUACCAUGGUUAUUACAUCGUGUACAUCACAUCAGCUGCUUGUGCACCAAGGCUAUGAAACUAUUUACAGAGGGUAGGGGUGAGCGAGUAUGGUUUAACGCCGCUUUUAGCAAUAUUCCAGCAAUAUCACGGCGGGGGACACCAGAAAUGGGCUUCACACCUUGUACCCAUGUGGGGAAUCAGUGUGAAGGGCGAACGCUUUAACCACUAGGCUGCUCCACCGCCCCAUAGAGUGUAUGGAGUAGUUUGAGCCCAACCAUGAUAACAGUUAUUGUUACUGGGGUAUGAUCUACAAUCUCUUUCUGACUUAUCCGAAUCCAUUUGAACUUGGUUGUAGUGCUAAAAACCCUAGCCUCCAGCAAUACCUUAAUGACCUACGAUAAGGUGAGGAUUUGUGAAAAAUAUUUUUCCAUGAAGUACUGUGUAAUCAAUGGUGCUUGUUACAUCUGUUCCAGUGGGCAAGGUGCUUCGAUGGUGUAAUGGUCUCAUAUUAUGUUUUGAUUGAAUGUUUAUGAAUUGUUUUUGGUUUUCAGUGCUAUGUGAAAAUAAUCUAUUUGUUAGCAUGUGUAAUUAGAACAUACCUUAAUAUUAACAUGACAUAACAGAAGAGACAAUUUGUAGACAUAGGUAGCUUGAGAAACUAUUUUCAGAGAUUAUGAUAAAUGUCUUAAAUCAAACCUGCUGUAUGGGGCAUUUCAUAUUUGUUUCUGGUCAGUGGUUUGUGCAGGAGUGAGUGAGUGAGUACGGUUUUACGUUGCUUUCUGCAAUAUUCCAGCAAUAUCACAGCUGGGAACACCAGAAGUGGGCUUCACUCAUUGUACCAAUGUCGGGAAUCGAAACCCGGGUCUUUGGCGUGGCGAACGAACAAUUUAACCUUCAGGCUACCCGACUGCCCGGGUUUGUGCAGGAGAAUUAUCAGCAACUGUAUGGGGAGUCCUUGUUCAUGUUCACAGAGGAACAACUUGGAGAUGUCUUGUGAUGUAGAUAAUACCUGAAGAAGGAGGCAUAUAUCAAAUACACCAGUGAAUACAAGUCAUUUGACCUGAGAUGUAUAUUUAUUAUUUUAUGGGCAAAGAUGUCAAAAUACUUUUGUGUGGAGUUAUUAAAUUAGUGUUGGCUGACAGUGUUUUCUAAACUGUUCAGUUAGUGUCUCAUGUAAGGCUAAAAAGAAAUAGUCUUGGUUCUCAGGCAUGGCCUGCAUCAUCAUAAAGUCUGCCGCACAUUUCGUUUUUAUGUGCAUUUUCAAAAAAAAAUCUUUUAAAUAUUUUGCAUCUCGAACACACGACCCAAGCAGUUAAAUGCUACAAUACCUUAGAACAUGAUUUCCCUGAAAUUAUUGUGAACAAAAUUUGGUUACAGACUAGCUUAACAAAAUAAAAAACAAUAGACUGCCCCCCACUCUCACAAUAAUCCCAAAAGCCAUUGCCCGAGAACCAGUUCUAUUAUGUUUUCAAGCCUAAGCACAGUCAGUAUUGGUAUCCUAGUGUAUGUGGGCAUCAGUUUCAUUAUUUGUUACAGAAUCUAGCUGUCUGAUUGGUCAGUUACCACUUUGUGAACACCCAUGAAUAUCGGCUUGCUGGCCUAUACGGGUAUCAGGUGUUUGGUAGGAUGUCAUUCGCUUGUCAUGUCACAAUUUACCCUGUUCUCACUUUGACUCGAUAGUGGUGAAGAUAGAUUUAAUUGUCACACAGAAGAGAGAGGAAACCUGUCCCUAAAUUCUUUGUAAGAAUUCAUAUGACAACCAGCCUGAAUUGUUUUGACUAAAAGGCUGUAGACAAAUCCAGUUUUAAAAAACAAUCUUCCCCAAGUUAAUAAUUUGUCAAUUUUAGUGAGCCCCAAAAGACCCUUCCUUACCUACCUCCUCACCCUUAGAAGAAUAAGGUUUGCUCACCCUUUGAAGAAUUAGGUUCGCUCAUCCUUUGCAGAGUGAGGAAUCGCUCGCCCUUGAAGAAAAAGGAUCGCUCACCUUUGAAAAAUAAGGAUCACUCACCCUUGAAGAGUGAGGAUUGCUCCCCCUUGAAGAGUAAGGAUCGCACAACCUUGAAGAGUAAGGAUCACUCACCCUCCAAGAGUGAGGAUCACUCACCCUCCAAGAGUAAGGAUCGCACAACCUUGAAGAGUAAGGAUCGCUCACCCUUUGAGUAUAAAGAUCGCUCAUCCUUUGCAGAGUGAGGAAUUGCUCACCCUUGAAGAGUGAAGAAUUGCUCACCCUUGAAGAGUAAGGAUCGCACAACCUUGAAGAGUGAGGAUCAUGGUGGAUCGAAUGUUCUUAUUUAUAAGGGGAACCAUGGUGUUUGAUUUAAGAUGACCAAUCGCUGACUUGCUCCUCCAUGUCGGAAUAAUGCUUCACCUGUUGCCUAAAGCUUGUGUCUGAAAUAUUUCAUCACAAUUCAUCUCCACAUGUAGUCUUGACAACAACACAGGGGCGGUCGGGUAGCCUAGUGGUUAAAGCGUUCGCUCGUCACGCCGAAGACCCGGGUUCGAAUCCCGUCAUGGGUACAAUGUGUGAAGCCCAUUUGUGGUGUCCCCCGCCGUGAUAUUGCUGGAAUAUUGCUAAAAGCGGCGUAAAACCAUACUCACUCACUCACUUGACAACCACAGUAAGUGGCUUGUGUCACUUGGCUAAUGUGUGCUGUGUGCAGUUGUGAAAAUAUUUACUAUUUGAUGGUUCUAUUUGGUUGAAAAUGCUUUCAGAUUUUAAUUAGAUUCCUUAUCAUCCUGUUUUGUACAUUUCAACACAGACUUGUGGCAAUUGCAUUAUUAUCAUUGCCAAAAUAUAUUUUGUUUGAUUUUUGGGUGGGUUGAUGGAUGAGUGGAUGGACUGAUGGAUGUUUUCCCACUGCCGUAUUGCAACCAACAUUGGUUGCUCGAGGUAUAGGGAUGGGAAGUCUGUUGCCAGAAGGUAUAGGGAUGAGAAGUCUGUUGCCAGAAGGUAUAGGGAUGGGAAGUCUGUUGCUAGAAGGUAUAGGGAUGGGAAGUCUGUUGCCAGAAGGUAUAGGGAUGGGAAGUCUGUUGCCAGAAGGUAUAGGGAUGGGAAGUCUGUUGCCAGAAGGAAUAGGAAUAGGGAUGGGAAGUCUGUUGCCAGAAGGUAUAGGGAUGGGAAGUCUGUUGCCAGAAGGUAUAGGGAUGGGAAGUCUGUUGCUAGAAGGUAUAGGGAUGGGAAGUCUGUUGCCAGAAGGUAUAGGGAUGGGAAGUCUGUUGCCAGAAGGUAUAGGGAUGGGAAGUCUGUUGCCAGAAGGAAUAGGAAUAGGGAUGGGAAGUCUGUUGCCAGAAGGUAUAGGGAUGGGAAGUCUGUUGCCAGAAGGUAUAGGGAUGGGAAGUCUGUUGCCAGAAGGUAUAGGGAUGGGAAGUCUGUUGCUAGAAGGUAUAGGGAUGGGAAGUUUGUUGCCAGAAGGUAUAGGGAUGGGAAGUCUGUUGCCAGUGUACAUUGUUUUUAUUAUUACUGAUUACUGCAAUGAUCAUCAUCAUUAUUAUUCUCGUGUUUUGUGUCAGUGCAUGAACAAAUACUGUUGAUGAUUAAUGACAAUGGUCUAGGGCAUUAUGAGAUAUCAUAAUAUUAUACUUAUAACACUCCAACCCUAUAGUUACUUUCUGGACAAGAUUAUGGCUUUUCCUACAAUGUAACCAUGGCAACCAUUGAGCUAGUGCUGACAAAUAUGAAAUCAGUAAUAAAUAAUUUGGCUUGGUUGAAUCUGUUCAAAUAAUGAUAUCAAUCAAGAAUAAGUUAUCAUAGAUACCGCUUGUAACCAUAGUAACUGAGUACAUGCUAACUGUGGAACAAGAAUGGUACACUUUAGAAUUUAUUUCUCUCUCUGAAAGCUGCAAUCUCAUCCCUGAUGUAAUUAUUUUGGAUCUUGACAUUAUAAAUGAUAAUAUACAAGAAGUGCCUGCAGAAAGAUAUGUUUCAUUAAGUUUAUUGUGACAAGUUUUAUUAUUAAACUAGAAUAUUUUUUUAAUUUGAAGUUUACACAAUAUAUGGCUUUUCCAUUGGACGAGAGGCCAGUCACAUGGCACGAAAUUGAAGUUCAUAAGUGUGUGAAUGACAUAAUUUGAUGUUUAUACGUUUUUAUUAGGAUUUCUUGAAAUGAUUACACAUUCGUGGGGAAGCAUUCUGUCUGAUCAUUUAGACCCUUUAAUCUUAACCCCUUAAUAUAAAAGCUUACCUUGUUCAAAUAGUUAACAAGCCUUUGCCGGAGUUAUCUUGGAUGUAUUGAUGUAGUAUUUCCAGUGCUAAGUGAAACAUGGAGAUUUAGGUGUAGACCAGAUUGUCCAGAGAGUUCCUAUUUUAAGUGUGGCAUUUAUUGUACUCUUUAAUAUACUGUUCUGUAUAUAUUUGUGUGACUUAUAGUAAACCGAAAUUGUUGUGCCAUAGACACAUGCUUCCAUCCAAAGUCUGACAAUACUGCACCACAUAUUGUCCAAAUUGUUUGUUAUCUAGUGAGAAUUCUAGCAUUGUCCCUGUUGAGACCACCCUUCCAAGAUAAGGCUAUUACAAAGGUAAAGGGCUUCCAUGCUGGACACGCCUGUACAGACCCAUCUUCCUCUCUGCAGAAUGGGUUAACUUUAUUAGGCAGUGGACCAUUGUGAUUGAGGUUCACUUGAACAGCAGUGAUAAACAUAAUACAGUGAUCCCUCGAUAUACCACUGUCAUCGGGGUCCAAGAGUCCGACUCGCGUUCUAGGAAAGAGCGUUGUACAGAUAUUCAUUGCUGAGGUUCACAUUACGUAAUGAUGGUAGUGAAUGGAACAGUGGCACAAUUAUUUCACAGUGGCAUGGGACAUGUAGAUCUAUGUAACACUGAUCGUGGACGAUGAUUCAAAAUGCAUGCGUAAAAAAAUAAAAAUACUUUGUGUAAAUUAAGCCAAGGUUCACCCCACGGUGCAUCGGGAGUAGCGGUUCAUCGAGAAGCGUUAAGUCGAGGGAUCACUGUAUCAAACUGGCUUUGUAUGCCUUAGACAGUAUCUAGUUGAUUGGGCAUUGGGACGCCAGUAUUGCCAAUAUUGAUGUUUUUUUCUUAUUCUAAUUAUAUUCACAACACUUUUCAUUCAUAUUUUGAAAACCAAAAUAUUAUUUAACUUUACCUUUCUAUUUUCAGUUAAGGCUGUUGCUUUCACAUUUCAUCUGUACCAGUGAAAGUCUGAAAGUUAAUAUCACCUUUUAUGAUUGUAUUUUCCUGAAUUUGAGCAGGUGUGUUUUUGCAAUGUUGUUUACGGAGUAAAUGUUGAUUGGCUGAUGUGCACAGUUUUAUGAGAAGGGCUAGCACUAAUGGCCGUGUUAGUCUUUAUUAUAUACUGCUAAAAUGAAGUUAGGACCAUCCAAUUCUUUCCUAUAACUACAGUUAACUGUAGUAAUAUGAAAGAAUUGAGUUGUCCUUAUCUUUUUUUGGUUGUAUAUAAGAUAACCAUAUUGUGCUAUGUAUCCAAUCUCAUUAAAAGCAGACCUGUUAAUCCGAUUUGAUACCUCUCCAAGAUGGAAGUAUUAAAUCAGAAUAAAAGGCCUGAUUUUAAUGAGAUUGCUAUGUAUUGUGAUAAAGCUGCACCACAUAAAUACACGCUAUCAAAUUGCUGUAUUUCAACUGUUACAUUUUCCCACCAUUUUCCUACACAGUCCAAAACCUCUUGUUGAUUUCUAUGAUAAUCUCAGUUAUUUAGUAACAUUCCUCAAGAAUACAAUGAUAAAUAAUUAAAAAGAUUCACACUGACUUGCCUCCAGUGAUUGUUUACAAAGACCAGUUGACAAUGCAGUCAGUUCAUUAAAGGCUGCAGUUGAAUAUUUUGGAUGUAUUAUGUUUAAUUCCAUAUUUCUGAAAGACCAUGUUAUACAACUAGUUGACCUAUUAGAUCAAUAUGAAUAUUAUGAAAUGUAAUUUAGAAUACAUUUAAACAAAUUAAGAAUUGCAUGUAAGUAACAUAAGGUUUUCAUUUUAUCAAUUACCUUUACUUACGGAUCUGCCAACCGAAAUUUCACAAUUAUGGAUUUACAUUUAAAAGAUUUAUCCAGUAAACCAAUUAAAUAUAGAUAAAGAGACCUUUGACCUUACAAAUGAUUGAAUAAUAAUGUGAGUAUUCUUUCAAGAUUAAAUGUAGCUGCAGUAUGUUUGAUUAUCCUGCUUAUUAUGGAAUUUGUAUUAAGGGAUAUUUUAGUGUCAUCAGCAAGGGAAGUGAUUAUCGUCCUCUAGUCGUUGCUGCUCAGAGAAAAGGAUGUAACAUAUCACAGCAUCUAGCAUGAUGGUUUCCUAACAACUGUUUCUACAGAACUUGUUGUGAGAGACUCCAGUUGUGAACUGGAUAAGACCAUGUUUUCUAUUUGUUACACCAGACUGCCAUUACUUGUCAGACAGGCUUCCAUGUUUAGGAAAUGCUGUUCUUUUUCCACUUUGUAUCACAAUAGGAUGUUGGACAACACUGAAUAAACAUAUGACUUUUA